UUUUAAAAGAAAAUAAUUAUUGAUGUGUAAAGUAAAUGAAAACACAGUCAAGUGGGAGUGUAAUUGAAAGUAAUUUAAGAGUUCAAUGGUUGAUGACUUUUUUCAAUUAUGAUAUCUCUUUAUUAAUAGGAAAUUCAUAAAUUAAGGAGUAUGCAAUAUAAUCAUUGUGGAAUAUAUUAGGGAAACAUUUUUGAUCCAUGCAAGUAAAUUGAGAUAGACUGGGUGCACCUGUUCCUAGUCAUGCCCAGGGAAUAUGUGAAACUCUGGCUCAGGAUGAACGUCUGUUGGUGUCAGCACAACAAUAAUGAAACAAAGUUGGCAGUAGGGUGGGGAAGUGUUUGGUGGGUGGGAGCCACCAUCUGCAGCCAGCUCCCAGCACGGCUGUGUGUUCGGAUACCCAUCAACCAGGAAAGGGAGUCUAAGGCCUCCAGAUGAUUUUCCCCUUUCACAAAACUGUUGUAAAAUGAAAUACAAAUCCUUCCUGAAUGUUCCUAGCUUUUCUUCCUUUCGGAAGUUUUCAGUCAAUGGGAAACAAAGCCUUAUUCAAAGGAUUAAAGCCAUAGUCAUUCUAUUGUUUGGGGCUUCAAUAAUGUGGCUUUCCUUCCACAGACAGAAUUUUCAAUUCACAAAUCAUCUGAAAAACAGGAAAUUUUGGAGAAACAUGCUUAUGAUAACAAACAAGGGAUCUAUCGUGUGGUAUAGAAGUUUACACAAAGAGGCAUCUGAUUUUAAGUUUUUGUUUUUUUUUUUUUUUUUUUUUUUACCGUUCUGGGCUUCUGGCUGCAUUCUAGGAAGAUCAUUCCUUAAAAGAAAUAGCCAUAUGGCUUAUAAGGGACUAUAUCUUAAGACUAUGUGUCUUCUGCAGUUCUUUGCAUAGAGUCAACGUUGAAGGACAAGCAACUUCAAAUUUCCAAGCAACAAAAUUAUGUUCGGGUGGUUUUCUGAAAGCGAGAUCUUAAGAACCACCUGUAUCAGAAUCCCAUGAAGAGCUUGUUUAGUGUGCAAAUUUACAGAUUGUCCCCCCUCAGAAAUGCUCAUUUAGGAGUUCCUGUCCUUUGCGGGGACAUGGAUGAAGCUGGAAACCAUCAUUCUCAGCAAACUAACACAGGAACAGAAAACCAAACACUGCAUGUUCUCACUCAAAAGUGGGAGUUGAACAAUGAGAACACAUGGACACAGGGAGGGGAACGUCACACACCAGGGCCUGUCGGGGGUGGGAGGUAAGGGGAGGGAGAGGAUUAGGACAAAUACCUAAUGCAUGUGGGGCUUAAAACCUAGAUGAUGGGUUGAUAGGUGCAGCAAACCACCAUGGACAUGUAUACCUAUGUAACAAACUUGCAUGUUCAGUACAUGUAUCCCAGAACUUAAAGUAAAAUAUAAAACAAUAAUAAAAA
ensembl:lncRNA DARS1-AS1 DARS1 antisense RNA 1